UUCAAGUCACUUGUUCCUGUUUUUAAAAUAGCAUGCUGAGGGAUUUGGUCAUAUCAUUAGCCCAGACAUAGCCUGACAAGACCAGCCCUUGUGUAAUGAGAUUGGUUUGAGGUAGGAACUGUACUUGCUUUCUAUGAUGGGCAAGAGGAGACCCCAGGCUCUGGAUGGGAAGCUGAAGGCUGACCAAGGGUGGAUGAGGCAGAGGGCCUGCGAAGGGGACUCCACAGAGGCCACACGCAGGACAAGAGCAGCACUCUACUCCAGGCUUCAUCCAUCGUAUGGAGGUCUGUGGUCAUUUCACCCAUUCAUCUUGCUCCUCUGGAGAACCCAAACCCCGGAAACCACAAAGGGAAUCGACUGCUGCUUCAGUUGAUAGAACAGAAGGGACCUUCAAGACAAUCCAAUACCAAGCCCAGCUGAGCACCUAGAUGAUGUAGUUGACAGUGAAGGAUAGAUUUCAUUUUGUUAUUUUAUACAGGCAUUUUGCAAAAAGAAUGUGAAUUGA
rnacentral:lncRNA from 10 species